UGUUUUAGGCCCCUAAACUGACAAGAAAACCUUUAACAUUUCCGAAAGCGAGACAGAAGGCCUAAGUGAAGUUUGACAGAUGCAACGUUUCGAGAGCAGCAAGUUGGCAGAGAACAGCGAGUAAAAGAAUUCCAAGAUUAAAGGAAAUUCCAGAAAAAUCGGCAUGUUGUAGGAAUUCCAGAACCCAGCAAAAUGAAGACGAAUGGUUCUGGAAUGACUGUUCCUGCUGCUGGUCUUGUUCUUUCUGUUGCUACUGUUGCUGGUAGUCCCUACAGUGAUGUUGGUGCUGACAGCGGUGUUGCUGCUGAUGGCGGGCGACAGUUGUCAAUGGAGUGUAGCAGAAGGAAUGUUAUCGUUUUGUUAGAGAAUGGCGCCAAUCGCGAUGGCGGAGAGCUGACUAUGAUGAUACGAUAGCAGUGGAGAAGCUGGAGGAUGGCAGUGCAAGAAAAAGUAGUAGUAGUAGCGAUGGAGGAAAUGGGAACUUAAUAGUAACAGUGCUAGUAGAGCUGGCGGUUCUGAUAUCUUAGAAGAGGUUGAUGACCGCUAAAGUAUCACAAGAGACUACUACUCAUAGUGCCGCCGAAAUAGUACCUAUAUAUAUAUAUAUGUAUGUACCUGU